rnacentral:tRNA from 24 species
CGAAGCGUGGCUCAGUUUGGUAGAGCGCUGCGUUCGGGACGCAGAGGUCGCAGGUUCAAAUCCUGUCGCUUCGACUA